GGCCCGCCUGCCAAGGUCCUCCUCCACCCCCAGGAAUGCUGCUGGCUGGCAGUUGGAAGAAAGGGAUGGUGCUCGUUUCCUCCCCUGGCCCUCUGCAGGAAGAGAGGUGAGUGGCGGAGCUGGAAUCGAACCCAAGCAGUCGAGUUCCAGAGCCUAAGUUCUCUACCUCGCCUCUCAGUGCUCGAAAUAUCACUUUGGCAGCUGCUUUGAGGAUGAACAGGAGUGUGAACUUGUAAAGCUAGCAUGUGGAGGACGGAACUCUUGAUCUUCCCCACCUUCUCCUAGCACCUGUAAGAAGCAGGAAGAACCACGGCCUCCCCUCGCCAGUCGAUGGCAACGUCACCCUCCCAGGUGUCAGCCGAAAACCCUGACAUCAUCCUUGACUCA